GCCUUGAAAGCUUAAAGGCUCAAGCGUCUGGUCUUGUAAACCAGAAGAGAGGGUUAAACUCCCUCUCAAGGCU
rnacentral:tRNA from 1 species